GCAUAAAGAUCUGUCUCAGAUUUCAACCUUCAUUUCCCUCGAGAUCUUCUGUGAAUCUUGUUUCUUCUGGAGCCUGGAGGGGAAAUGCGGAGCGAAGCUUCGGCCUAGUAAACUCUUGGUCGCUGUGGUAUGGAUGUGACUGUUGCAGUUCCUCCUGCGGCAUCUAAUAAUAGGAUGCUUGUGAAUGGAGACUAGUUCUUGCUGAGUCCUGUUCACCUUGAAACCAGAAAUACUUGAUAGGAGUUCUUUUUUUCCUGCCACACUUGAAUCUGGCUGCUGGAACUUGAUCAUCACUCACUCUAGUGACACAUAG
rnacentral:lncRNA from 1 species